AGGCCUGUAGCUCUAACUGGUAGAGCGCCGGUCUCCAAAACCGGGGGCUGUCGGUUCGAAUCCGGCCAGGCCUG
rnacentral:tRNA from 1 species